rfam:Entamoeba invadens IP1 unplaced genomic scaffold scaff_1105074726561, whole genome shotgun sequence.
GUCCUCUUAGCAUAGUUGGCAGUGUGUUUCCCUAGUAAGGAAAAGGUCGUGGGUUCGACUCCCGCAGAGGCCU